rnacentral:lncRNA from 1 species
GCCUCGACGGGACGUCCUGCUGUCUCAGGUACCAAAACCAUCACCCCGAGAAGUGCCGCAGACUCAGGAGUCGUCCCAUCCCACAUCUCUUCCCACUCCACUAACCUCCCCAAUCUUGCAUCCACAAUCCCCACCACCACCAUCACCAAUAAUGCCUCAACCACCAUCCCCGCCACCAUCAAAACCCACUCCCCCACCAUCACCUAAACCCCAGGCUUCACCACCAUCACCUAAACCCC